UCACAGAAUACAAGGUCGCCAGUGAAUAGACCUCACCCCUGUUCCCCUUGUCCCUCCGCUCCAUCCUGACCUUGCGGGGCCAGAGGCAGCACAGGGAGUGGGGCUGGAGAAGUGACAAGAAGAACAAGGUGGACAAACAGCGAAAAAAGAGACUGCUGUUCGUGAUGGAGCCUGGAGAAGAGGACCUUAAACUGGGAAGCUGUGGAGUGGAAUGGGUCCUGACUUCCUCUUCCAUGCACCUCCUGCCCUCGAGGCCACAGGAUUUCAGGUCUGCUCUGUUGAAACGAGGCUCUCUUGUUGGAUGACCACACUUUCAUUUUUCCUAAGACAUGGUAUAUAUAUAUCUGCCCACAUGAUGUUCUCACAUGUUCUAUGGCAAUUUCUUGGAAGAAUGCAAUAACUGGGAUUCCAACAUGGAGGCAGAUUAAGUGGAAGCUACACUGACAUUCUCCCUGGACCAAACUGAAAUUACAACUAAAAUAUAGAAAGAUCAUCCUGAAUAACCAACUGAAGACUAGUGGGAGAGAACCUCAUAACUAAGGACAUGAAGAGGAGGCCACAUCCAGACUGGCCAAACUGUUUAAAUAAUUUUCUUGUUCAACUCAUAGAAAUAAGCAAAAUACUAGGUAAUAUCACAAAAACAAUGUGUGUUUUAAAAGAACAUGUUUGAACUUGUAAAAU